AACGAACGCUGGCGGCAUGCCUAACACAUGCAAGUCGAACGAGACCUUCGGGUCUAGUGGCGCACGGGUGCGUAGCGCGUGGGAACCUGCCCUUAGGUUCGGAAUAACUCCCCGAAAGGGGUGCUAAUACCGGAUAAUGUCUUCGGACCAAUGAUUUAUCGCCUUUGGAUGGGCCCGCGUUGGAUUAGCUAGUUGGUAGGGUAAAAGCCUACCAAGGCGACGAUCCAUAGCUGGUCUGAGAGGAUGAUCAGCCACACUGGGACUGAGACACGGCCCAGACUCCUACGGGAGGCAGCAGUGGGGAAUAUUGGACAAUGGGCGAAAGCCUGAUCCAGCAAUGCCGCGUGAGUGAUGAAGGCCUUAGGGUUGUAAAGCUCUUUUACCCGGGAUGAUAAUGACAGUACCGGGAGAAUAAGCUCCGGCUAACUCCGUG
rnacentral:rRNA from 1 species